UUGCUCUUCAACGAGGAAUCCCUAGUAAGCGCAAGUCAUCAGCUUGCGUUGAUUACGUCCCUGCCCUUUGUACACACCGCCCGUCGCUACUACCGAUUGAAUGGCUCAGUGAGGCGUUCGGACUGGCCCAGGGAGGUGGGCAACCACCCCCCNNAGGGCCGGAAAGUUCUCCAAACUCGGUCAUUUAGAGGAAGUAAAAGUCGUAACAAGGUCUCCGUUGGUGAACCAGCGGAGGGAUCAUUACCGAGUUUAACUCGCCAACCCCCUGUGAACAUACCUCAGUUGCUUCGGCGGACCCGCCCCGGCGCCCUCGGGCCCGGACCAGGCGCCCGCCGGAGGACCCCAAACCACUGAAUUACCAUGUGUAUCUUCUGAGAAAAAGGCGAAAGCCGAAAAUGAAUUAAAACUUUCAACAACGGAUCUCUUGGUUCUGGCAUCGAUGAAGAACGCAGCGAAAUGCGAUAAGUAAUGUGAAUUGCAGAGCUCAGUGAACCAUCGAAUUUUUGAACGCACAUUGCGCCCGCCAGCACUCUGGCGGGCAUGCCUGUCCGAGCGUCAUUUCAACCCCUCGGGCCCCCUUCACGGGCGGCCCGGUGUUGGGGAUCGCCCGCCCCUCGCGGCGGGCGUCCCUCAAAUCUAGUGGCGGACCUUCCGCGCCUCCCCUGCGUAGUACUGCACCUCGCACCGGAGCGCGCUGGGGCCCUGCCGUUAAACCCCCCACUUCUCAAGGUUGACCUCGGAUCAGGUAGGAAUACCCGCUGAACUUAAGCAUAUCAAUAAGCGGAGGA
rnacentral:rRNA from 1 species